rnacentral:snRNA from 1 species
GGAUGUGGGGACAAUCUGACCGAUCUCCUGGGUGGAUCCAGCUGAUCUGACUGACUAGGCAGGUGUCCCCACCCUUCCUCCCGCAUGCUUCAUGUGUCCUGCCAGAAGCUGCCUGCUGGAAAGAGGGAAAGCUUCCCUGGUCUUUAGUCAAGGGUAUAAGAGUAGCUGCGAGAAGCAAUGGGCAAGCUCUCAAAACAAAUAUUUUUAAUUCUGUUGUUUAAUUUUUAAAAUUAAAUGUUAAGU